ensembl:misc_RNA Y_RNA Y RNA
GGCUGGUCCGAGUGCAGUAGUGUUUACAGCUAAUUGAUCACAACCAGUUACAGAUUUCUUUGUUCCUUCUCCACUCCCACUGCUUCACUUGACUAGCCUUUA